GGGCCCGCACAAGCGGUGGAGCAUGUGGUUUAAUUCGAUGCAACGCGAAGAACCUUACCAGGGCUUGACAUACUACAAAUUCUUUAGAGAUAAAGAAGUGCCUUCGGGAAUGUAGAUACAGGUGGUGCAUGGCUGUCGUCAGCUCGUGUCGUGAGAUGUUGGGUUAAGUCCCGCAACGAGCGCAACCCUUAUUUUUAGUUACUAAUUCGUUAGGUUUUCUAGAAAGACUGCCGGUGACAAACCGGAGGAAGGUGAGGAUGACGUCAAGUCAGCAUGCCCCUUAUGCCCUGGGCUACACACGUGCUACAAUGGUUAAGACAAAGAGUCGCGAGCUCGCGAGAGUCAGCUAAUCUCAUAAACUUAGCCUAAGUUCAGAUUGUAGGCUGCAACUCGCCUGCAUG
rnacentral:rRNA from 1 species